UCGAACGAUGAUGCCCAGCUUGCUGGGUGGAUUAGUGGCGAACGGGUGAGUAACACGUGAGUAACCUGCCCCUGACUCUGGGAUAAGCGUUGGAAACGACGUCUAAUACUGGAUAUGACUGCCGGCCGCAUGGUCUGGUGGUGGAAAGAUUUUUUGGUUGGGGAUGGACUCGCGGCCUAUCAGCUUGUUGGUGAGGUAAUGGCUCACCAAGGCGACGACGGGUAGCCGGCCUGAGAGGGUGACCGGCCACACUGGGACUGAGACACGGCCCAGACUCCUACGGGAGGCAGCAGUGGGGAAUAUUGCACAAUGGGCGAAAGCCUGAUGCAGCAACGCCGCGUGAGGGAUGACGGCCUUCGGGUUGUAAACCUCUUUUAGUAGGGAAGAAGCGUAAGUGACGGUACCUGCAGAAAAAGCACCGGCUAACUACGUGCCAGCAGCCGCGGUAAUACGUAGGGUGCAAGCGUUGUCCGGAAUUAUUGGGCGUAAAGAGCUCGUAGGCGGUUUGUCGCGUCUGCUGUGAAAUCCCGAGGCUCAACCUCGGGCUUGCAGUGGGUACGGGCAGACUAGAGUGCGGUAGGGGAGAUUGGAAUUCCUGGUGUAGCGGUGGAAUGCGCAGAUAUCAGGAGGAACACCGAUGGCGAAGGCAGAUCUCUGGGCCGUAACUGACGCUGAGGAGCGAAAGCGUGGGGAGCGAACAGGAUUAGAUACCCUGGUAGUCCACGCCGUAAACGUUGGGCGCUAGAUGUAGGGACCUUUCCACGGUUUCUGUGUCGUAGCUAACGCAUUAAGCGCCCCGCCUGGGGAGUACGGCCGCAAGGCUAAAACUCAAAGGAAUUGACGGGGGCCCGCACAAGCGGCGGAGCAUGCGGAUUAAUUCGAUGCAACGCGAAGAACCUUACCAAGGCUUGACAUACACCGGAAACGGCCAGAGAUGGUUGCCCCCUUGUGGUCGGUGUACAGGUGGUGCAUGGUUGUCGUCAGCUCGUGUCGUGAGAUGUUGGGUUAAGUCCCGCAACGAGCGCAACCCUCGUUCUAUGUUGCCAGCGCGUUAUGGCGGGGACUCAUAGGAGACUGCCGGGGUCAACUCGGAGGAAGGUGGGGAUGACGUCAAAUCAUCAUGCCCCUUAUGUCUUGGGCUUCACGCAUGCUACAAUGGCCGGUACAAAGGGCUGCGAUACCGUAAGGUGGAGCGAAUCCCAAAAAGCCGGUCUCAGUUCGGAUUGAGGUCUGCAACUCGACCUCAUGAAGUCGGAGUCGCUAGUAAUCGCAGAUCAGCAACGCUGCGGUGAAUACGUUCCCGGGCCUUGUACACACCGCCCGUCAAGUCAUGAAAGUCGGUAACACCCGAAGCCGGUGGCCUAAC
rnacentral:rRNA from 1 species